rnacentral:rRNA from 1 species
AACGAACGCUGGCGGCAGGCCUAACACAUGCAAGUCGAGCGCCCCGCAAGGGGAGCGGCGGACGGGUGAGUAACGCGUGGGAACGUACCCUUUGCUACGGAAUAGCCCUCGGGAAACUGGGAGUAAUACCGUAUGUGCCCUUCGGGGAAGAUUUAUCGGCAAAGGAUCGGCCCGCGUUGGAUUAGGUAGUUGGUGGGGUAAUGGCCUACCAAGCCGACGAUCCAUAGCUGGUUUGAGAGGAUGAUCAGCCACACUGGGACUGAGACACGGCCCAGACUCCUACGGGAGGCAGCAGUGGGGAAUCUUAGACAAUGGGCGCAAGCCUGAUCUAGCCAUGCCGCGUGAGCGAUGAAGGCCUUAGGGUUGUAAAGCUCUUUCAGUGGGGAAGAUAAUGACUGUACCCACAGAAGACGCCC